GCAACAGUAGUCUAGUGGUUCAUGACACUCUACAAAUGUCAGUCCAAGAACGGCAUACCGAGUAAUAUGUCGAGCUGAACUGCAAUGGAGAAGACCUGAGUUCGACUCUCAGCUGUGCCA
rnacentral:tRNA from 1 species